ensembl:snoRNA small nucleolar RNA, H/ACA box 77B
GCAGACACACUCUGUUCUCUGCUGCCCACUUCAGCUGGGGACUUUUUCUGUCUGCUAUAUGAACAUGCAGAAUGUAACACUUUACUGGUUUUCUAAAAGGCUGGUGUCGGUAUGUUCUGCUACAUUACA